rnacentral:RNase_P_RNA from 1 species
AGAGUAGGCGCAGGCGAUUGCAGAUCAGUUAUGAUAACUGGUUUGAGGAAAGUCCGGACUCCCGAAAGACCAAACUUGCUGGAUAACGUCCAGUGCGAGCGAUCGUGAGGAUAGUGCCACAGAAAGAUACCGCCAGGACAAUUAAAAAUGUAAGAUAACUAAUUUUUAAUUUUUAAUUUUGCAUUUUUAAUUGUUUCUGGUAAGGGUGCAAAGGUGCGGUAAGAGCGCACCAGCAGCGUCGAGAGGCGCUGGCUCGGUAAACCCCGGUUGGGAGCAAGGUCAUAGGAACUAUGGUUGGUCUUUUACCAGUUCCAUAGCAUAGAGCCGCUAGAGGCGUUUGGUAACAAGCGUCCCAGAUAGAUAAUCGCCCUCAAAAGUGUUGAAAAUCACUUAUGAGAACAGAACCCGGCUUAUGUCCAACUCUCUCC